CAUGUACAUGUAUAUACCAAUCUAAGUUAGUGUAUAUCUUGUUUCUCGUCUUACUUUACAGUAGAGCUACUUUGAUAGAUCAGGUUGACUGAUAAGCUGUCUAUAUAAAGUAAUGGGACAAUGCAUGGAAUGAAGACAUCACCAAGUCACCGUAUGCAACAUUUAAAAAGACAUCCUGAGCUUAUCAUAUAGUCAUCACCUACCCACCAACACGGUGUGAGCUCUGGUUUCCGCGUAUUUAUAGAUUAUAGAUCGGUUACAAGUCCAACACGCAAGUUACGUAAAGGAAAGCUCUCUGACUCGCAACAAUAGACCGGAAUGACUUUACGAUCAUCCGCUGUAAAAGGGACAAAAAAAUACAGAUCCGAGAGUAAUCGCAGUUACUGACAGCUAGUUCAAAGCCAAUAAAAACUAAUACAAAAAUCAUGUAUCUAAGACA
rnacentral:lncRNA from 1 species